UACACUGGGUACUCCAGUGCCUCUUGGAAAACAAACUACAUGUGAAAGCUGAAACGUGUGAAUUCCAGGUCUCCACAGUGUCAUUCCUCGGUUACAUCAUUGCACAGGGGCAGGUGCAGAUGGACCCCGCCAAGUUUACUGCAUGACUGAGUGGCCAGAACUCACCAAACUUAAGCAGUUGCAACAGUUCUUGGGUUUUGCAAACUUCUAUUGGAGGUUCAUCAAGAAUUACAGCCUUUUGUUGCUUUCCUCAUUGCUCUCACCUCAACCUCCUCUCCCUUCCGGUGGACACCUGAGGCUGAAACAGCUUUAAUUGAACUGCUUCGCCUCAGCUCCUGUACUCAUCCAGCCUGAUUCUGCCCAUCGGUUUUUUGCGGAGGAGGAUGCCUCGGCCAAUGGGGUGGAUGCUGUACUUUCUCAAUGUUCCCUUGCUGAUAUAAACUCUACCCUUGAGCCUUUUUCUCAUGCAGGCUCUCUCCAGCAGAGAGAAACUAUGAUAUUGGGAACUGGGAGCUCUCCGCCAUCAAACUGGCUCUGGAAGAGUGGCGCCACUGGUUGGAACGUGUGGACCAACUAAAAGAACCUUUCAUACAUCCAGUACACUGCUGAGGAGGCAGAAGCAGAUUCCGAGCCCAUCCUGCCACAUCCUGGUUUGUCGCCACCAUCAUCUGGGAGAUCAAGUUCCUGGUUCUCCAGUGGUCUCACUCCUCUUGCCUCACCUGCCAUCAUGGUGUAAACCGGAUCCUUGACCCUUAGUCACCCAUCAUCCCACAUUGCCUUGGAUUUCCUCGCCGGUCUCCCUCCAUCUAACAGUAAAAAAGGUAUACUCACCAUCAUUGACCAUUUUUCCAAAGUUGCUCCUUUUAUUCCCCUGCCCAAACUUCCCUCAGCUAGGGAGACUACAGACC